UCGGUGCCUUUUGGACCAAAGAAAGUGGCUGCAGUGAUGCUGGGCUGGUUUCUGAGCCGAGCCUAGGCUUUCGAAACUGUUAUCUUCAACUUCUUGUCCUUGUCUCUUGCUUUUGGAACUCUGAGCAUCCAUAUGGGAAGUCCGACUACUAUAAAGCCACAGUGCCCAUGGGACCAUAUGAGGGGACACAUUCAGAGGUCUGAGACUCCCUGCAGAGUCCCCAUCCACCCUAUCCUUCAGACGUUCAAGUCAUUCCAUAUAGGUUCCAGACACUGGGAGCAAAGUGGUUUCCCUAGAGAUGACAGCAUGCAUCCUUGACAUAUCAUUAUUCAAUUCUACCUUAAAUUAGAAGAUUUUUCAUUUCGUGGACAAUGACACCUUGCCUUUCUCCAGAACCAAAGAGCCAAGUGCUGGGCCAGUGACACCGCUGUUGACCCCCCACCCCCACCCCGUGUGUGCAGAGAACCUCAUCUGUUCCCUCCUAGAAUGGAUGCAACAGGCUCUCCGUGUUACUGGCCAUAGUCCUCGAUGGGGUUAGGGAAAUGAUCUGGGCCUGCAUCGAUGCCUACAUCUCCCCAUUUCCCCCAAGGAUGAGUGUGUGCACGUGUGUGUGCACAUGUGUGUGCAUGUGUGUGUGUGUGCAUGUGUGUACACUAACACAGGCACCUGAGCUAAGGGAGGGGAAGCACUGCAGGUAGCCUCUGUCCUCCCUCUGUCCCUGCCCACAUC